GUUUUUGAAGCCAGUAGGAGGUAUACAAGAGUCAUUGAAAAACCACUGCAAGUUGAAGUCUUCUGGAUGAAUGUCACUGAAAAGCAAAAGAUACAAAUCAGGCUUCAAAGACACCAGGUACGACUUAAACACCAGUUCUUAGAGGAUACACCCAUAGGAAAAGCCUAUCAUGCUCUUUUUCUUGCUGUCAAGGACAUUGUUGUUGCUGGAAUGGCCUGGAAAUGACAUCAACAGGAAAGAUGAGUAUUAUUACUUCUCAUCAGAAGAAAAAAUAAUAAUCUUCACCUUCCAUUUACCACCGGUUGUGGGAAAUCAAACCUCAAAGAACAAAAAGGGAAUUUGGCAAUAUCUGUGGUUUUGUGAACCUUGUCAUCCCAGUUUCAACCAGAAAGAUUAAAAGUGGUGGCGGGAACGGGGGAAUUCAAGACAGUAGUUUUGAAGUCUUCUAUCUACAUUCUUAGUUCACUCUGAGUCAUCUGCAGAGAACUGGAUUUUGAAUAGAUUAGGAUGGCUUAUUUACAUAUUAUUUUUGGAGGAAAUGUUUCUGAAAGAAUUGGCUGCAUCAUCCAAACUCUGUUAGUUGUUUGUUUGUUUAAAGAGUAGGGGCCUCAUUCUGUUACCCAGGCUGGAGUGCAGUGAUACGAGCAUAGCUCACUGUAGCCUUAAACUCC